UUCGAUAAAAUGGAGCGCUGAACAUUUUGACUUAACCGAAUAAGAGGUACUAAAAAUGAGGACGAAAUACAAAUAUAAAGCAACCUACGGAACCCUUAUGAGUUAUUCCAAGGGUUCCUUUAAAAUACAAAGUACAUGGCAUUCUUCCUUCAUGAAGUAUCGAAUUCAACGUACCAAUUAUGACCAGUCGUGCUUGCGAAUUUAAACAUCUGCACUACCAUUUAGACAAUACACUUGAGCAAGUUGGUUGACCGUUAUGGAAUAACCGUUUCACAAAUGAUAUCGGAUAUGUUCCUUACUUCGUAACUACAAUCUCCUUCCCUUUCAUGAAUGUGACCUACCGAAUAAGACUAUUUACCGGAUUUGUUAUCACAUAAGCAACACGACGGGUGCCACAUCUAGAGCAGGAUCUGCUUACCCUUCCGGAGCACCCGAGAAUACCCCUAGUUUUUGGUGGGGUUCGUGUUGUUUAUUCUUAAGUUUUCUAUGUUGUGUCAUGUGUACUAUUGUUUGUCUGUUUGUCUUUUUCAUUUUUAGCCAUGACGUUGUCACUUUAUUUUAGAUUUAUGAGUUUGACUGUCCCUUUGGUAUCUUUCGUCCCUCUUUUAGCAAACGUUAAACAUGUUCAACCGGAUGGCAGAAAUACAGAGAUGUUCAAAACUAUCUUAGUCAAGCCUUAUAAUUAAAAUAAUCGUAACUUUAGUCUUUUGAAUAGUAUUUCAUUAACAAAGGAGUAAUGUAUGUUGGUAAACACAGUCGCAAAUCUAUUUAAUUAAAAUAAUGGCAAUAAAAAAAAACAAUAGCACUAACAAAUAUAUGCAAUUAAAUAUUUAAGUAUGAACAAUGACAAAAAUACUGAUAGAAGUUACAAUAUUAACAAAUAUUGAUAUAAAACAAUGGUUAAAAAUUAUACUCAAAAACAUCAACACGUGCAAAUGUCUCGUGCUUUCAUGUCAGGUGACCAUGUAUUAAGUGAAUCACAAGUAAUAAAGAAACAAAAAAUAUGAGUGUGUGUCUUACCUGAGUUAUACAUGUUAUAACCAACAAAAGUAUUACACGUCUUAAAACAUUUUUAAAUAUCAUAAUAAUAUGCCCUAGCACGAUACAUAAAACUCAACCUUAAGAAUAACAAUAACAAAAGUAUACCUGAUUUAGGUAAACAUGAUAACAAGGUACGCAUUCAACAACA
rnacentral:lncRNA from 1 species